UCAGAGUCAAGCAGCAUAGAAAGCAUUUUUAUAAAUCGUGGUUGCAUAAGUCGUGGUCUCAAGUGAUCAACCUGAAAUUUUCAGUAUAAAGAAUAACUAAACUGUCUUAAUACAAUGUCGUUAAAGAUACAAUGUUUUAUCGAUGGAUGAAUCAUAAGAGCUAAUUCACCCUUGGUGAGAUUAUAAAUACAUGCAGUAGCUGCCAUUUGUACACGGAAUUCCUGUGGAUGCUCUCUCAUUCCAGGUAACACUAAUUUUAUCACAUCGACUCGUGGUUCGAGAAAAUUUGGUGUUAAACGAAAUAAAUUAAACAAACAUUUUUGAAGAUA